rnacentral:rRNA from 1 species
UACAGAGGUCUCAAGCGUUGUUCGGAUUCAUUGGGCGUAAAGGGUGUGUAGGUGGCGCCGUAAGUCGGGUGUGAAAUCUUGGAGCUUAACUCCGAAACUGCAUUCGAUACUGCCGUGCUUGAGGACUGGAGAGGAGACUGGAAUUUACGGUGUAGCGGUGAAAUGCGUAGAUAUCGUAAGGAAGACCAGUGGCGAAGGCGGCUCGCUGGCACGAUACUGACGCUGAGGCACGAAAGCGUGGGGAGCAAACGGG